AUUGAACGCUGGCGGCAUGCCUUACACAUGCAAGUCGAACGGCAGCAUGGAAGAGCUUGCUCUUCUGAUGGCGAGUGGCGAACGGGUGGGUAAAGCAUCGGAACGUACCGUGUAGUGGGGGAUAACGUAGCGAAAGUUACGCUAAUACCGCAUACGCACUGAGGUGGAAAGCAGGGGAUCGCAAGACCUUGCGCUAUACGAGCGGCCGAUGUCAGAUUAGCUAGUUGGUAGGGUAAAGGCCUACCAAGGCGACGAUCGGUAGCGGGUCUGGGAGGAUGAUCCGCACACAUGGGACGGAGACGCGGCCCAGACUCCUACGGGAGGCAGCAGUGGGGAAUUUUGGACAAUGGGCGAAAGCCUGUUCCAGCCAUGCCGCGUGAGUGAAGAAGGCCUUCGGGUUGUAAAGCUCUUUCGGCUGGGAAGAAAUCGCACAGGCUAAUACUCUGUGUGGAUGACGGUACCAGCACAAGAAGCACCGGCUAACUACGUGCCAGCAGCCGCCGUAA
rnacentral:rRNA from 1 species